GGUCGAUUAGCUCAGUUGGUUAGAGCGCCGUACUAAUACAUGUCACAGAUCAUGUCAUGCGGAUGUCAUGGGUUCGACCCCCAUAUUGACCA
rnacentral:tRNA from 3 species